GCAAAGGUGUGUUUCUUUUUCUAUCGCAGUAAAUUUACUUAGCCAAAUGGAUUCAUGGGUUAUGAUCAAAUCUUUCUGAGCAAACCUAUGUGGUUGCAGCUGUUAAUUUCUUGUACUUCUAACAUUUGGACGUAAUAUUUUUUUGGUCCUGUCAUUUGAUGAGUCCCAUGGAGGGGCAGACUCGAUUAAAAUCCCAGUCACUGGUGAUUCUUUGAUGUUUUCUUUUUCUAGACCUUGAUGAUUGAUAUUCUAAUAUGAUAAUUCUAUUCAAGGAUUUGAACAAGGACAAAUUCUUUCUCAUGAUCAUUUGAUGUCAUUCUUGAUUCUUGAAUACUUUGAUUAAAUUAUAUUAUUAUUGGACUCUCUUUUUGUUCUCUAUUGUUUUGUCAACCAUCUUUGAGGACAAUGUCAGGUUCUGAUACUAGUUUGCAUAUGUUAAUGUGUUGAAUCCCAUUUUGUAUGUUGAUGCUGCCCG
rnacentral:misc_RNA from 1 species